CAGUUCCAGUGCCUCACCACCCUCACUAGAAAAGACUUUUUCCUUAUAUCUAAAAUAAAUUUACCCUUUCUUUAAGCCUGAAGCCAUUUCCCCUCCCCUUUAGAUACUGAAAGGCUGCUAUCAAGUCACCUCGGAGCCUUCUCUUCUCCAGGCUGAACAGCCCCAGCUCUGUCAGCCCAUCCUCAUAGGAGAGGUGUUCCAUCUCUUGGAUCACUGUGUGGCCCUUCUCUGGAUGCUCUCCAACAGGUCCAUGUCUCUCCUGUACUGGGGACUCUACAUCUGGAUGCACUAUUCCAGGUGAUGUCUCACCAGCGCGGAGUAGAGGGGCAGGAUCACCUCCACAUGAAAUUCCAAGAUUUCUAAGAAUCGACUGGUCCCAUAUCCCAGUAACUCAAGUCUGCUCAGUUUCAUCUUAUUAAAAAAUUAGGGAAAAAAGAAAAGGCAGCAUGAAAAAGACCUCCUUUGCUUGGGAAGCGGAGUACUUCCAGUGGAGGGAAGAUCCGUAAAGUAGGAUAGCUAUAACAGCAUCGGUGAGAUGGUUUUGGCAGAAGACAUAGUCUCAGCACCGUGUGCUUUUGAAAGCAGCUGCCCCGAUCUCUUGCUGCUUGUCAAGAUGAAAUGAAGGACUGGAAGCAGAGGAAAGAACAACUGAAAUGAAGAAAUGCUUUCACGUAAUUGCAAUUUGACCUUGUGCCAGUGGAGCUCACUCAUGAACUAGUGGAUUGUCUGAAAUGACUUCUCUGAAUCACUGGAAUCAUAUCUAAAACGGCAGCUUGAUUUUCUUCUUUGUGCUUUGCCUGUUGGCAGCUUUCCUUGGACUCUGCAGCUAAGCCUCAGUGCUGUGUCUGUGCGUGCGUGACAGUCCUGCUGCCAUCACUGAGGUGCCCAGGGUUGGUUGGGAUGGAUUCAGACUUUCUGUUACCAAAGAGCACAGCAGAAAUAGGAUGAGGCAUGCUCCUGUGGCUGAUGCCACAGUGGGGUUUGUGUGAAGAGUGGCUGGGGCUCUCUGGUUUGUGGAGAAACUAGUUGGGAGCAAGGUGUAGAAAUACCAAUUGGAGGCACAGAAGGUCAUUUUGGUGUUCUUUGCUCAUUCUCCUAAUCCAAAAGCAGGGGAAAAACAGUGAAAAUGGAAGGUAAUAAAUAAAACAGUUGAGGAAGGUGUUAGCUCUGUUUACUGUCUGUCUGUGAGACUUCACUGAGGCUGGGAUCUUAGUGCAGACUAAAAUAACAGAUAACCAUACAGGUGUUGAAAGCCCUGGUUUCAGGGCAGACAAAGGUGGUAUAAAGUGGUAUAUCUUAUUUCAUAGCAAAUGUCAGCGAGGACAGAUGCUUCCCUCUGCACACACUGUCUGACAGGCGCUGGUCAGACCUGAGUCGGCUCUUGAAUCUACGUGUGAUCCCUCAAGACACUUUUAAACCCACAGGAAGCAGGACAAUUGUUUGGGGACUAAUUUUUGUGAGCUGGAUGGAUGAAAGAAGAUUUCUGUGGUGCCAGUUCCCUCUCUUCUGGCUUAGGGGAGAGGAUGUGCAGGGGGAUGUCCCUUCCCUGGGAUGCUCAGGAUGUGUUGGAGAGCGUGGGGCACAACGUCUGAAGCUGGCUUAGAGCAUUUCUGAGCAAAACGUCUUCCUUUGCCAAGUCAGCCUCUGCAUGUGGAGGAAUGGAAGCCACCAAUGGCCCCGAGUUGCAGUUCGGCUGUGGCAGACUCAACUGUGGGACUGAAGCCUUGCUGCAGCCUGUCCCUCCACCAGCCCAUCUCACAGCAGACAGCCCCUGAGGGCAUCUGUAACAGAUGGACGGUGGCUAAGCAGCAGCCUUGUUGGAAUUCAGUUAAAAAUCAGUACCAGUUUGUAGAAAAUCUUUGUAGAAAAUGUAGAAAAUAGGAAACUUUCAACCUUUUCUCAGUCUGUCACAGUUUUUAUUCAUUUGAGCCAGGGAAGAGGAAUUUUAGUUCUGCCUCCUGAUGAAUCUGCCAGUGUGGUUCCCACUAUUUUCUCUCCUUGAUAGAGGCAAUUGGCGUGUUGCUUUCUACCCUAGGAAGCCUCAACUGCCACAAAAGGCCACAGUCUGAUGGGAUGUCAAACUGCAUAGCACUUGUUAAGCUCCCAUGGCUGGCAGCAUCUGUGCAUUUGCAAUGACAACUCUAAAUCCAUCCAGGAUACAAAAGUACUCUAAAAUUGUAGCCUUUGUGUGUGUGUGUGCGCUGCAUGUUUUAUUUAUAAAGCUUUUAGAGAUAGCAGUUUGUUCUCUAAUUUAUUUUGGGUUGGUGAGGAGGAGGAAAUCUCCUUGGCAAGAUAGGGAAUUUGCAAUCUGAAUGUAAAAGGAAUAUGAAAAAAAGAGGAAUAACAAUUAAAAAAAGUCCAGAAUUCUGGGACAUGUUUGCAUGAAUAAUAAUGCUUCCAAAAUGAUAAUGGAUUGUGUGUCAUCCAUUUGUGGAACUGUAGAAGCUGCUAUGAUAAAUAAAACGAUACGUCAAAUUUGAAACAGCAUGGGGCCUGCAUGUGUCACUCAUCAGGUACAAUUAAAUAAGAAUAAUUGGCUGCCUGCUAAGUGAGAAGCUGCACUAUGAUGGUGCCAUUCUCAGCUUUCAAUUGCAUGAGGGACAGUUGCUCUGGACAUCCAUUUCAGGGCUGGCCCAUGCUUGAUGGGGGGAUUGUGAGACUGAACGUGUGUGGAUGUUUGCCAAACCCUGUGGGGAAUCGAAGCUCAGCUCUCUGGUUCAGUGUUCUAAACUUCCAUUAUGUUUUUGUAGGGGCUUGACCACGACUGGCACUGCUGGUUACUUUUCUCCCCGCGGGGUGCACAGAGUCCUUGCAGCAGCACAGCUGCAAUUGCUUCUCAGCCUCAAAACCACUUCAUAGCAGAAGUGUGUGUUGAGUCUCUCCAGCCUGCCCGUGGCUCUUGGAGGAUGUCUGAGUUCAGCAGAGGAAGAAGCUCUCACAGGCAAAACUGCUGGGAAUGCAGCAGAACUUCUUGUUAUUCAGCUCUGGCCCGUCUCUCUUUGCUGCUUUUUGUUUCCAGUUAUUUCCAUGUGUUGGCACUAAAAUAAGAACUUUUAAUUGCCAUCUACUCAUUAGCUCAUUAUCAGCACCACCUUAGAAGUGAUAAUGGCCAGGUGCAUACUAGUUAUUUCAGGUUGCACUAUCUGCAAAUGCUUUACUGGAGGCAACAAAAACUUCCAGGAAAUUAUGUGCAAAUGGCUUUUGGGAUCAUAGUUGCUCUGUGUAGAGUUGAAGGAGGCAUUUCCCCCCCCACCUCUCUGACCAUGUGUUUGUUGCUUCUAACAUGUUUUCCUGUGCAGACUUUCAGCGCCUCCUGUCCUGAGUCUGUCUUCAAGCCAGGUUUGUGGAAUACAAAGGCUUCCCACUACAAAAAGAUCAGGUGAAAAAUGAUGGUAAGGCCACAGUUCUGCUUUUGUCAUUUCAGGACUUUGAAGUAAACUUUUCUGCUUCAGGAGCAUUUGUCUCCUUGCUUUCAUCUAAUGACAGCUUCUAUUUGCUGCCAGCUACGUAGUCAACCACCACUCAAGGUGGAUAUUGACAGAGGGUACUGACACUCACAUGUUACCAGAGACUAUUAAAAUAUGAAGAAAUCUAAUACACUCACUUUUCAUGACUGUGCUGUUCUGCAAAGUAUAGAAACAGACAUAAGAUGGUAAUUUGAUGCUGAGUUCUUUGCUCAGAAGCCAGGCUGACUAUGGACAGGACAGUCCAUUAGUGUUAUUCUGCUCCCUUGCACGUCCUUUCUAGGCUGCAAGUUCUCUGGAGCACCAGUUUCUUGUGUCCAUCAGUGUAUACUUACAGUGCUUUUAGACCCUACCAGGACACAAACCCACAACAGCUGCAUGUGAGUGAACUGCUGCCAGAGGUUAGGCUGAUGGAAUUAAUGAUAGUAACCUUAGUCGUAGGAGCCUUCAUCCCAACAAGGCUUCCUGUCAUUUAAAUAUAUUAUUGACAGGAAGGCUAUUGAGUUCAGUUCCCUGCCUGGUAUUUUAUGAAGAAGGAUAGAAAAAUGGUUGGGAGCGCUGAGCCAGUGCAGAUCCUCUGGUCUUCUUGCCAGUGUACCUGGAAACAUGCUGCUGGUGCCCAAAAGCUGGCAGCAGUGUUGAGCUUUACUGAACUGAGAAGCAUCCUGAUGGCAUGGUAGGAGGUCUCUCUUGGAUCUGUUUCCACGGCUGAUUCUGGAGUUAUGGUUGGCCAACCAUGGAUGCCAGCAAUUUUGCUAGCAAUGCUUAUCAGCCCAAGAUCUGGCUUUAGGAGUACAAAUGCAAGCAUGUUCAAUGUAGACAAAGCCGUUAGCUUUAAAGGUUGACACUGAAGCCUUCUGUAUACACUGUGCAGAGGCUGUCUGUGUUAGAAAGUCCUUGUAAAAUUAGAAGGUGAAAAAACAUGACCAUUAGCACAGGAGCAAAUGGAUUUGCUGGACUGCAUUCAGCAAAACAAAGCUGAGACUCGUCUGAGCCCAGCUGUCGUGUGCUGUUUGGCUGCUCUUUGUCUGCCAGCUCUGUGUGUCCUUCCUUCUCAUGUGCAGGACGCAUGAUGACUUGCCUUGAGCCCUCUUGGGCUCUGGUCUGCCCAGAGUCCAUGUUGUUUGUGUGCAGCGGUUUGGGCAUGUGCUGGUGGCUGUGGGCUGAUUUGACCGUGGCAAUUGCUCUUACUUUAGAGGAGGCUCCUUUUGGUCCUGCUCAGGGUCAUUAGGGGUUGCCGAAUGUGGACACAUCUGUGAGCUGGGGAGAGCUCUAAGUGACCAGGGUCUCCUGGGUCAACUUAUGGGAAAAUGGGGAUGAGCUCCUUGGGCUGAUCCUGGCUGCCCACUGCACUGGCUGAGGCAGCAUCAUCUUUCCGUGCAUGGCCACAACAUGAGCUGUUCCAUACAAUAAUUUAGUUUGGUUUUCUACAGGAACAAAACUUAGACUUGCAGUCUGUGUGGAUUCAUCUGUCUUCAUGCUCGUUACUCCACGAACAGUAAAGUCAGUUCCAGCAGAUAGUUACAGAGGUAGAGUUGUCUCAAAGGUGUGAUGUUCUAAUAGGUAGAUGGGGAAAGUAACUACGAUUGCAGCCCAGAAGACCAACCAUAUCCUGGGUUGCGUCAAGAGAAACAUGACCAGCAGGUUGAGGAAGGUGAGAUUCUGCCCUUUUGCUCUGCUCUUGUGAGACCCAUGAAGAUAAGAGCACAAUGAGGGCUCAGCCUUACAGUAUAUCCAAGAGGGAUAUUCAGUGAGCUCAGGUUAGAAUGCCAGGUACCAUUUUUUAACACCAGCUUUGUGCUUCUGUGCUGUUCUCAGCAAACAGUGCUCCUGAGCUAAACUUAGUGUGGUUUGGGCAGGUGGAGCCCAACUGUGUUCUAACAGCUGUGGCUAUGAAGUUCAUCUAUCAGUGUUUUUGUGAGGAAGUGAAAACUGGUGGAAUGAAUUUGUACCAGCCUCGUGGGUUUUUCUUUUGCCUCAUGUUUAUUGUGUUUGGUCAUGAGGCUUCAUAUUAGGAGCCCUAAAAGCCAGUUUUACUAAAUUGGUAGAGCACGGGCUUCACUGUAAUUAUGAAAGAAGGUUUAAGUACUUCAACCGUGUUGAUACUUUCAAAGUGUUAUGUCCUGUUACUCUGUGAUUUUGAUAAGCCUGGUCAGUCAUUGGAAAACUGAAUUGUUUAUGAAAAAUAGCAUAUCUGAACUUGAAAAAAGCCCCCUCCCCCCCCCCCCCCCUUUUUUUUUUGCUUCAAGAAAGGCUGAAGGCGGGGAGGAAAGUCAUAAAAUAUUAACAAACUCUGCUUUUAAUGCUGAUACAAUUGCCCCCGCACAGCUCUGUACACUGCACGUUGAAAGCAUUGUGGUGCACUGGGAAUUGCCAUGUGCUUUGUGAGAGGGGAAGCCAAAUGGGCCCGCUUUUCCUCUUGACAUUGCCAAUGAUCUUCAGAAAUGGAUGCCAUAGAAUACAGAUUUGGGGCCUCCUCAUUGCAGACUUAAAUAAACAGAGUUUGGAGCUUUAUCAGGGGACAUGGACUAACGACCAAGAAGACCAUGGCCAGAAAGACUGGUGGGGUCUUCCAACAUAGGCAGAAUCCUUCUUGUUGGGGUUGCUGGUCUAAUGUGUCUGCACCUGCGUGGCAAAUGCUGAAUUUCCCUUUGGUUGUCUGUGGGCAGACUGUCCUGGGUGCAAAUCCACCCUUAAAGGCAGAGUUGUACUAAGGGAAAUUUUGGCCAGAAGUCGUUCAAAGAUAAGUGUUUUUGGUAAAUGUUUGUUCUAAUUAGCAUAAUAAUGUCUUUGUGACAAGGCAUUGGCUGGAUUUAUGAAUAAAUGAAAGCUGUUGCAUUAAGCAAAGAGGAAAAUAAGAGAGAAGCGAAGAGACAGAACACUCAUCAUACCUUUCAGCUGUCAGAAAUGUUUUCUUCUGGUUUGGGUGAAGGGAAGUUUGAAGCAGUGUUUAUUCAUGAGGCUCUGCCCAGCCCGGUGUGAUUUUUUACUUGCACAUCCUGCAGCAGGAAUGUCAGGGAACAUGGCACAUAUUUCAUUCGAUGGAGAUCAAACCAAGUCAUAUUUGAAACACUGUAUGAAGAUGAAGGUGUUCAAAAUUAAAGAGCUGGAUUAGGUAUGGGUCUUCGUGUCACGUUAUUCCUCUGAAUGUUUUCAUGUCAGUAGAAAAAACAAGAACAAGGCUUUCUGACCUUGAAAAGAAAUGCCUGAGGGAAAGACUCCUCAUGCAAUUUUUAAUACUUUUCCUAGUGACUUUUUUUUUUAACUGCUGUAGCACGAUACAGGUUUGAACUAAUGAAUGUCACGCUCAUAUGGGGCAGUUCCAAAAAUGAAAGACCUUGAGUGACUUAACGCUAUUAUUGCCCUGUAUGAUGAUGUUAUCAACAUUACCUACAUUUCUGACUUUCAAGUGUCUUGGUAUCUUAUAGUUAGCUUGUCUGCUGAAUGAGAGACACACUCUAAACUUAGUUUCAAAGCAAUCAUAUAAAGCUUUAUUUUUAAAAAUAUGUAAAAAUGAUAAUUACAUGUAGAUUAUUUUUUAACUUUCAUUAGCCCCAUCUGCUUCAUUUAAAGCGAUAUUUGCUAAAGGAUGCUUGUAGCUUAACUCUUCCUCCCAUAUACUGGGGAAAGAGGGCCAUCACCUCCAGGUCCCUUCAAAGAUAGUUUUGCUUGCGGGUCUUCGAAAGACAUGAAUGGG